GCUGUGUGUUCCAGCCUGGAAUCUGGCUUCCCUGAGCUGGUGCCGUUCUUGAUCACUGCUGCUGCGCUGCUUCUCCUGCUCCAAUAGAAAGCACUCCCGUUCCUGCUGCCACUUCCUCUUCCUGUCUGACAGCAGCUGGUCUUGGAUCUCCUCCUCCAUGAUUGUCCUUGUCCGUUCCAUCUUUCUGCACUUGUAUUUCUCUUCUCUCCACUGCUGCUGAGACUGUGCAACCUCCUCCUUCAUCUCUACUCCAGAGAACUGAUCCGAGCACAGCGGCUCUGGUUGUCCUGCACGACGGCACUGAGCUCGGCUUGUAGCUCUGUCAACCUCUGCUGGAGACUGUCUACUUCCUGCUGCAGCGUACACACAUGAGAAGAGGAUGCGUCCAACUCUUCAGCCAAACGUACCUGAGAGGAGAAACAAAACUGCUCAGUUUCGAACAAAACUCGAUCUAGUACACCUACAGUGUAUGUGCAAUCAAGAAUUUUGACAUAUUUGCAUAUACUGAUUAAAUAACAAAUUGCUCAAGAACUCAUGCAAGUGUUCUACAAAUAUAUAUGUGCUUUGUCUAAGUGUUCACUGGCCCAACCACUACCUUCAGGUUUUCAUUACACACUCAGCAAAUGAGAGGAUUAGAGAUUAA